GGUCUACAGAGUGAGUUUCAGGACAUCCAGGGCUCUGUAUACACAUGGACAUGUCUCCACAUGUCUGUGUAACUCUGCAGAGAUUUGGAUCUCCCCCCACCCCCAACUCCUCUUACUGCUAUCAGAUCAGCUGCUGUACACCUCAGGUGCUCUCUUUCACAUUCUAGACAAUUCUCAAGUUGAAUGUUGAAUCUAUCCUUUUUAACUUUUAUUAAAAACAAGUAAGUCCUUCAUGUGACUGCAUUUUCCUAUCUGUGGCUCAGGAGCAAAGACCAAAGCUUUCUUACCUGGGGCGUCAGCAAAGCCUUUCCAAAAGACCCAUUCCUCCCUUAUCACCGAUCUCCCCAGACAAGGGACCUGGCUGGACUUAUUUUCCUGAUACUGUGGUAAAAAUAUCCUGACAAGUAUGUCUGGCCCACAGCCUGGUACUCAUGCUCAGGCGGAGAAGUCAUUUGCUAAUAGUGUUAUUCCCAGAGACAGAGAAAGCUGCUAUCCCAGGCAGGACGCUACACAGUCUUCCUUCUGGGCUUUCUUCCUCACCUGAACACAAGGUUUUUAGUGGCUUCCAAGGUCUACGAGGAAUCUGUGCAGACCCAGCUGCCUGCUCAAAAGAAGUGAGUGGGCGAUUAAUGUAUCAAAAACCUUCAGACUCAUCUGCCUUUUCUCCUUCCUACAGCCUUGAGCUCUGAGUACUGAGGGCCAUCACUGACUGGCACUCAAGACGCGGAAUGCAUUCUGCCUUUGAGCGUUACUGAGGAGAGACACAAAGGACUACAGCCUAUGGCACAAGACUCCUAAGCCCAGGUCUCAGCUCCCCAGAUGGGCUCUACAGAACCUACUAAAGGACAUAACAUGUAGCCUGGUGAUUAGUAUUGGAUGCCUA
rnacentral:sRNA from 1 species